CAAAUUCAAAUUCAAAAUAAAUAAAUAAAAAUACACCAACACACACAUCCCCUUUGUUAUUAUUAUUUUCUUUUCUUUUCUUUUCUUUUUCUUUUACAUUCACAUACUACAAAUUUAAAAUAAAUAAACAAAAAUUACAUUAAAACUUUAAAAUUUACAAAAUGGUCCCUAAACAAUCCAUAACAGUACUGGGAAACCCUUCAGGAACAG
rnacentral:lncRNA from 1 species